GAUGAAGAACGUAGCGAAAUGCGAUAAGUAGUGUGAAUUGCAGAAUUCCGUGAAUCAUCGAAUCUUUGAACGCACAUUGCGCCUUCUGGUAUUCCGGAAGGCAUGCCUGUUCGAGAGUCAUUAACAACCGUUUCGAUCCCUUUCUUUCAGAAAUUACAAAGAGGAAAAGGGUUUGGUUAUGGUGGAGGAGGGAAAGGGAGCGUUUAGCCUGUAAAAAAAGAGGCUGUGUUCCGCCUCCCCCCCAAAAUUGUACAGGCGGUCGUGUGCGCCCACGCAUCGAGGUGUUGUAAAAGCUGCCACGGCACUUUUCACCUGUGCAGUGCGAGAUUGGCCAGCCGGUUUAAAAACCCCUCCAAACAAUCAAAGGUUGACCUCGGAUCAGGUAGGGAUACCCGCUGAACUUAAGCAUAUUAAAAGCGGAGGA
rnacentral:misc_RNA from 1 species